rnacentral:rRNA from 1 species
GACGAACGCUGGCGGCGUGCUUAACACAUGCCAGUCGAGCGGUAAGGCCUCUUCGGGGGUACACGAGCGGCGCACGGGUGAGUAACACGUGGGUGACCUGCCCUCAGCUCUGGGAUAAGCCUGGGAAACUGGGUCUAAUACCGGAUAUGACCUUUCCUCGCAUGGGGUUUGGUGGAAAGUUUUUUCGGCUGGGGAUGGGCCCGCGGCCUAUCAGCUUGUUGGUGGGGUGAUGGCCUACCAAGGCGACGACGGGUAGCCGGCCUGAGAGGGCGACCGGCCACACUGGGACUGAGGCACGGCCCAGACUCCUACGGGAGGCAGCAGUGGGGAAUAUUGCGCAAUGGGCGGAAGCCUGACGCAGCGACGCCGCGUGGGGGAUGACGGCCUUCGGGUUGUAAGCCUCUUUCGACCCCGACGAAUUUGGACGGUAGGGAUAGAAGAAGCACCGGCCAACUACGUG